rnacentral:rRNA from 1 species
GAGUUUGAUCCUGGCUCAGGAUGAACGCUGGCGGCGUGCUUAACACAUGCAAGUCGAACGGGGAUUACACGGAGAUGCGAUUUCGGUCAAAUCAAGUGCAAUCUUAGUGGCGGACGGGUGAGUAACGCGUGGGUAACCUGCCUUGCACUGGGGGAUAACACUUAGAAAUAGGUGCUAAUACCGCAUAAGCGCACGGUCCUGCAUGGGACAGUGUGAAAAACUCCGGUGGUGCAAGAUGGACCCGCGUCUGAUUAGCUGGUUGGCGGGGUAAAGGCCCACCAAGGCGACGAUCAGUAGCCGGCCUGAGAGGGUGGACGGCCACAUUGGGACUGAGACACGGCCCAAACUCCUACGGGAGGCAGCAGUGGGGGAUAUUGGACAAUGGGGGGAACCCUGAUCCAGCGACGCCGCGUGAGUGAAGAAGUAUUUCGGUAUGUAAAGCUCUGUCAGCAGGGAAGAAAGCAAUGACGGUACCUGACCAAGAAGCCCCGGCUAACUACGUGCCAGCAGCCGCGGUAAUACGUAGGGGGCAAGCGUUAUCCGGAAUUACUGGGUGUAAAGGGAGCGUAGACGGCUGUGCAAGUCUGGAGUGAAAGGCGGGGGCCCAACCCCCGGACUGCUCUGGAAACUGUAUGGCUGGAGUGCAGGAGAGGUAAGCGGAAUUCCUAGUGUAGCGGUGAAAUGCGUAGAUAUUAGGAGGAACACCAGUGGCGAAGGCGGCUUACUGGACUGUAACUGACGUUGAGGCUCGAAAGCGUGGGGAGCAAACAGGAUUAAAUACCCGGGUAGUCCACGCC